UGUUAAAGUGGAGGAAGGAGGGGGCAACGUUAGGUCAGUAUGCCCCGAAUCUCCCGGGCUACACGCGCGCUACAAAGGCCAGGACAAUGGGCUUCGACACCGAGAGGUGAAGGCAACCCCCAAACCUGGUCGUAAUUCGGAUUGAGGGCUGCAAUUCGCCCUCAUGAAGCUGGAAUACGUAGUAAUCGCGGGUCAACAUCCCGCGGUGAAUAUGCCCCUGCUCCUUGCACACACCGCCCGUCAAACCACCUUAGUUGGGUCUGGACGAGGGUUUGUCUUAUGACACGCUCGAAUCUGGGUUCAGCGAGGAGGGUUAAGUCGUAACAAGGUA
rnacentral:rRNA from 1 species